CAGCCGCCGCGGUAACACGAAGGGGGCUAGCGUUGCUCGGAAUUACUGGGCGUAAAGGGAGCGUAGGCGGAUCGUUAAGUUGGGGGUGAAAGCCCGGGGCUCAACCUCGGAACUGCCUUCAAUACUGGCGAUCUUGAGUAUGAGAGAGGUGAGUGGAACUCCGAGUGUAGAGGUGAAAUUCGUAGAUAUUCGGAAGGACACCAGUGGCGAAGGCGACUCACUGGCUCAUUACUGACGCUGAGGCUCAAAAGCGUGGGGAGCAAACAGGAUUAGAUACCCGUGUAGUCCCUGUCUCUUAUAC
rnacentral:rRNA from 1 species